AUCCCUGUAGCGCAGUAGAUAGCGCGUUGCACUUCUAGUACAAAUGUCGUGCGUUUUGAAUCCCACCAGGGAUA